GACGAACGCUGGCGGCGUGCCUAAUACAUGCAAGUAGAACGCUGAAGAGAGGAGCUUGCUCUUCUUGGAUGAGUUGCGAACGGGUGAGUAACGCGUAGGUAACCUGCCUGGUAGCGGGGGAUAACUAUUGGAAACGAUAGCUAAUACCGCAUAAAAUGGAUUAUCGCAUGAUAAUCCAUUGAAAGGUGCAAAUGCAUCACUACCAGAUGGACCUGCGUUGUAUUAGCUAGUUGGUGGGGUAACGGCUCACCAAGGCGACGAUACAUAGCCGACCUGAGAGGGUGAUCGGCCACACUGGGACUGAGACACGGCCCAGACUCCUACGGGAGGCAGCAGUAGGGAAUCUUCGGCAAUGGACGGAAGUCUGACCGAGCAACGCCGCGUGAGUGAAGAAGGUUUUCGGAUCGUAAAGCUCUGUUGUAAGAGAAGAACGAGGGUGAGAGUGGAAAGUUCACAAUGUGACGGUAUCUUACCAGAAAGGGACGGCUAACUACGUG
rnacentral:rRNA from 1 species